GCCGAGUUAAAACACAAAUAUUGUCUUACAGCGGGUUUAAGGCGGGGAGUCGCGUUUAAGCCUUCCUGAAUGGCACGCACGCACGCAAAGAGGAAAGAAAAAAAAAAAAAGAAAAAAAAAAGAGAGAAAACCCUUCCACUCUGGAAACUGAGAGCAGGCAAAUAUCCUCCCUGCUGAAUUGCUGUUAUUAAAUAGGGGGAAACCACCCCGCAACGAGCGCGCUCCGGAGCGCGUGGUGCCUCCGAGUGCCGCGGCGCGUUGCGGGGCCGGGAGACCUGCGGGCGGGCGGGGGCCGCAGCCCCGCGGCGUUCACCUCGGCCCCGGCCCCGCCGCCACCCAGGUAAAAGAAAACUAUGGGCAAUGUCUGAUAAUGCGCCUGUCCUCUACUCAGACUUGCCCCCUUCAAUGACUAGAGUCACUUCUCAAUGACUGGAGGCUCUGCAGAGUGGGGAAGUGAAAACCAGAACCCGCCUCUCCGAAGAUAAAGUUGAAAAAAAGCAAAUGAGCAAAAACAAACAAACAAACAAAAAAUACUCCCUUAACCUGGUACGUGAAAGACACAGCUUGCCAGAGUGGAAUUCAUGUACCUCCUGAAAUAUUUAAGACACCUGCAGUGAGAUUAUUUUUCCUCUUUUAAUUUGAAGAACCUGCAUUUCUCAGUUCUGAGGCAUUUCUCUGGCGGUAAUGUGUGCCAAAUAACUGGCAGUCUGGCACAACAGCACUUAUAUUCCAAGUAUUAUAAAAGAUAGAUAACAAGAAACCUGUUGCUUUUCUUUUCAGGGGAACUGAACCAUGAAUCUUAUAUGGCAUCAGUAGGUACAGAUAUAAACCCCUCUCCACUGUUUUUCUCUGCUUCUGUGACAUAAAAUUAAGGCCCAAAUUCUACAAAAUAUUUAACAGGAAAAAUCUCACAGCCCAAAAGCUCUCCUGAGGCAGUAUUUGCAUACAAUUUGUUGCAAGAUUAGGAUCAGAGGUUUUUUUCUCCCUAUUUUUCUACCUCAUUGGGUGUUAUUCUGGCAUUGCUAUGUUUUUCCAUUUACAUUGUUUUGACUAGAGUCAAAAUUGUUGUUACAUUUUAAGUCAGUGUCUGCUCUACUAAUUGAUGGGCUGCUAAAGAUCAGCCACGGAGAGUUAGAUUUCAGAGCAAGAAUCUGGCUCACAGAAGAAGUGAUUACAUGAGAUAUGUAAGGACCAAAGCCUGUAAGACCGAUUCAAACCCUAAAUGAUUUGACCAAGAGUACAAGGCUGUGAUACAUUCACAGUGAAAAUAUGGCACCUGGUCACAGUGUCUGGCUUCCACUUCUUCCAUCCAACUUUAGCUGUCCUCCUUUUGCAGAGGUCAAAGCAUUGUAUAAAUAUCAGUUAAGCAGAGUAAAAUCAGCUCCUUUAAAAUAUUUAGCUACCAUCUACCAGUGCUUUAUAAUAUGAAGAACAUACCUCUGCUCUCCUGGAACAUGGCAGGAAGCAGAAGUUUCUCUUUUGAAGGCAAUGAAGUUCCUCUGCAUCUGACUUCCAAGCAGUGUCUAACCUUGCUAUAUAUUUUAAUCUAACAGUAAGAUUUUUACUUCAGAACUUGUUUUCAUUCUGAAUCUGAGAGAGAAAGUGGGCACACUGUAGAUUUCUUGUAAAAAAUUUGUAUAACCAUGCUUAUCAAAUUUUAAACAGUAGCACCAGUAUUGCAAUACUUACUUUACCAUUAUAUUAAAAACAAAAGCAACUGAAAGGAAAGUCAGCACGAAAAGUUUUCCUCUUAUCAGAGUAAAUGAGAAUAUUGAUAUAAUGCAUUUCUGCUCUCUGCCUUUUAAAAUGGCAUUGAAAGCAACACAUUCUUACAAUAAAGUUUGCAUUUCACUCAAAGUGCAUUUUCCAACUGGAAAGUGUAAAGGCGAAUAUUUCAGGAUUGGUCCUACUUGAUGGUGCUUUGCAAAUACUCUCUAUUAACCUGAAUGACUGCGUAAGGUAGAGGAAAUCGGUAAACCUGGCCCUCUGAGAGCAGAGGAGCAAGUUGUUAAUGUUAAUGGGUAUCAAUUCACAUAUAUUUGCUUACAGAGAUCUGUGGCAGCUCUGAGUGUUUCACUGUGUCCAAUUUCUUCUUGCAUAAAUAAAGAAGAGCAUGAAUACUUGAAAAGAUGAAGGCUUCUCUGGAGCAGAAGAGCCAGAACUACUACAAGGAAAUUCUUGUGCUUCUUUAAUUACCCUCCUUUGCCCAUAGGUGGAAUUUCCACUCGGACAGCCCCAGCAAGCAGACUGCUAGCCUGGGAAGAGAUGUCUGUUUGUCUUUGUACAGCAAACACUGGCUGUGUUGUGCAGCUCAAGCUUCUGAUUCAAAUGAUUUCCUGAAUUCAUUCUGCUUCAUACCUCAGGGAAGGAAGAGGUGAUCCUCUUGAAAAUUCAUAUAAUUGCUUUUAUUUGAUUUUUAUUAAACCUCAUUCAAGAAUAAUGUGAUGGCUUUCUUUAUUACAUUGUUCAUCACUGCGGCAUUUUUUGAAUUUACUUUGCUAAAAGAAGCAGUUUACUAAGCCAAAGAUUGAAUUCAAGGAUUUUUGCAGAGAGAAAGCUGAGAGCUUUUUUCAAGUUCCUUUGAUUUCAAAGACUUUUGUAACAUUGAUACCCAUCUAAGAUUAUCUCUGCUUUUAUUCUCUAGUAGCUUGAACAUCUCUCCAGGCCUGAGCAGUCAGGCCAUUCUGCAGUGUGCCAUGUGUGUGUGCUGGGAUUCAGCAGGGCCAGCUGUGCCGCAGCUUCAACCCAGCUCGGCCUGAGUGCCAGGGAGCUGCCAGAGUGCCCAACCCACUCCCCUCCCCAUACCAGCCGUCCCACCACCUGCUUAGGCUGCCUCUUGCUGCCAUGCUGAUGGCAGUGGACAAAGGGAAAGGCUGCAGCUGUAGUGUGGAAAGCUACAGCAAGGAGUGGGUUCAUUGACCCCCCUCUAAAUUCUUUGUAGCUGCCACAGAGAUUGCUCCCAUUUUAAAAUUGGGAUGACUGAUGCAGAGAAGCAAAGUAAAUAAUCUGCACUUAGCAUGAAUAAAAGUAGCCGAGCAAUUAAAAUUCAGAACUGGCAACUUCAUGUCACUAGCAUCAAGCUAUACAGAUUUGGAAAAUUUGAUCUAUUUACCUCUUUGCCACUGGUGUGACAUCAUCUACUGUCCAUCAGUAACUCACACACAGAGCUACCUGAAGUGCAAUUUUAUGAGACUUUUUAAAGAGAAUUAUUUUUGGUCAUUUAAAGAUAGGUGUUUAGGAACAUGAGAAUGUUCAUAUAUUAUUAUAGCAAUUUUCCCCUCUUUUCCAUUUUAUCACAGGAAAUAACAUCUCAAAACACUAUGAGUACUUUGUAGAAGGUUCUUUUUUAUCUUAAAAAGUUUUUAACAAGAGUCCAGUCAUCUUAGUUAAUCCCUUUAAGCCAUGUCAAUAUUUAUUCUUAAGUAGAGUUUCAAAUAUUAGAGCAGCUGCACUCAGCUUAAUAGGGACAAUUCCCAUUGACUGGGAAUUAUGGCCAAGUACUGCAGGGGCUGACCUUGAGUCCUCAGGCCUACAGUUUAAAUGGCAAUAAGGGUGGCGGUGUGUCUGUUGGUUUAUGCCUCUGUCCGUAGGUAAGCACAAACCCCAGGGCUGCUUAAGGACCCUUAAUAAGCACUGCAGCUACUUCCCAGGGCUCUGGAAACCCUGUGUGAGGUGAGGCAUGUAUUUUUUAUGCUACUGGCAUCUAGACUUCUGUUUUCUAACAGUGACAGAAUAAUGGCAAUGGAUUUGGGAUAAAAGACAGGCAGAUGUACCACCAUUUCAUCAUAUAGUUACUCCUCAUCCCUCUUUCCUAAGGCAAGAAACAGGUUACUUCAUAUCACAUGGAGUACCUUGCCUUUGCCCCUCUCUCAGGGCAGGUGUGUUUGAGUCAGAGAACUUCGCUGUUCCAAGAGUCAGCUGGCAUUACGCUCUCUAAGACCCUCCAAAAGAGUGCUCUGCUCACAACCUCUAAAUUAAACUGAUCACCAGUUUUCUGGGCAGGAUUUUUUCUUCCAUUUAAAAGUUCUCUUUUUCUUUGCUUUAUUUCCGACAACACAAAACACAGUUGCUGUCUAUAGCCAUAGGGAAGUUUUAUUCAGUAAGUCCUCUGCUACCGUGGUGACACAGGAUUUUCAUGGUAGUACUGAUUCCUUUGUUGUCUUUCUGUGGUACUACAUUACAGCUAUGGCUUUUUUUUCUUUCCUUUUCCUUUUCCUUUUCCUUUUCCUUUUCCUUUUCCUUUUCCUUUUCCUUUUCCUUUUCCUUUUCCUUUUCCUUUUCCUUUUCCUUUUCCUUUUCCUUUUCCUUUUCCUUUUCCUUUUCCUUUUCCUUUUCCUUUUUUUCCAAGCAGAGGUUUUAUUUCUCCUGAGGAACAUUAAGAAGUAUUUCCCUCCCUGGGGAUGUGGAUUCUCCAUUCUGAAGAAGCCUGGGUCAUUGGAUGUCUCUUGCACAGAGAACACUUCGGAUGUCUCCGCCAGUGUUCCCAGAAAAGGGAGAUGUUUCCUGUCUGGUAGUACAGAGCAGCUGAUCAUUUCCAUGUUAUGCUGAACACAAAAACUGGACCCACUCUCAUAGUCCUCAGUGUGGGGCACCAUGUGAAUACAAAGAAGACAAUGACUGAAGGAGUUUUAAUCUUCCCUGGCCUCUCAGAUACCUUGGGGGACUCCUGGCCUUGGACCCCCUGCUCCCUGUCAUUUUUCUGACCACUUCUGGUGGGAUCCUGUGCUGUUUGCACUUAAAGUUACUGAAGUGAACCGAAAAUUGUAAGUCUCCAGCAAAGAUUAAAUGGCACAAAAAGGUGAGUAAAUAUAAACAGUGAAGUGAAAGAAGGUGGCUAGGCUUGAGAGCAGCAAGUACUAAAUGAUGUAUUUCAUAAGACCUUGAGCCUGCACUUUCCUAACAUGUUUUUAUAACAUGAUUCUAAAGGCUCCAUCUGCUUAACUUUUUCCUUCCAGAUUAAUGAUUGUUUUAGGACAACUCAGAUUUGGUUACUGUUAGCUCUAACAUUUUCAGAGAGGCUGACUUCCCCAUCAUGCAAUAAAUUGCUAGGAUAUAUGGUGCAUGCAGAGAACUUUCUGGUCCAAACUGGAACAAUCUCUCUGCAUAGACACAUUUACUUUUCAUUAAAAACAAAACAAAACAAAAACCUGUAGAUAAUUCCAUGCUUUUCACAGUAUUAACUUCACAGACAAAAACAAAAAAUCGAAGUGUUAACCCUGUCUCUUUUAUGUCUUCCAGUGUUCAAUUCCAUUCUGGUAAAGGUUUGCUACAAUUAAUCAUUUUUACAACUAUUUUAGGCUUAAAUCCCUUAAAAAACGUUCUGGAUCUGGAAUCUGACUAAAUCAGAAAUGAAAUAAAAUAUUUCCCAUUGCUUCCUGCUGAUGCUGAAGAUUUUGCAUAUUAGUCUAAUGUAACCUUGUAGUGUUGAGGUGUCCUCCAGGCUGGCUCUGGAGACCCCGCCGGCUGCUGCAGCUGCUGUGACUCCUGCUGCACUAAGAGCUUUUACAUCUGAGUGCUCUGCAGUAUAAAUGGGCAGCAACACUGCUUCUUUGCUUGGUCUCCCUGGAACAACUCUAAAAUAAACCCGCAUAUAUCAAAUAAACUCUGUGUGUUCUUUCUGUCACAGUGUUUGCCAUCUGGAACAGUUUCCUUAGGGCUGGAGAAUCUUUUUCCUGAAGACUGCACCCCCACCAGGCUACUGAAGCAUGUUUGUCUUUUCGUGUCUCC
rnacentral:lncRNA from 1 species